GUAGUUCAGUGGUAAAAUACUGGCCUGCCACGCGGGCGGCCCGGGUUCGAUUCCCGGAUUUUUUUUUACA